rnacentral:rRNA from 1 species
CAUGCUCCCGAGGGUGGGUGUCUGGUCGUUGUUUGAGAACUGCACAGUGGACGCGAGCAUCUGUGGCCAAGUUUUUAAGGGCGCACGGUGGAUGCCUUGGCACCAGGAACCGAUCGAAUGGGGAAACCCGGCAGUCGUCAUGGGCUGUCACCCGCACCUGAACACAUAGGGUGCGUGGAGGGAACGCGGGGAAGUGAAACAUCUCAGUACCCGCAGGAAGAGAAAACAACCGUGAUUCCGGGAGUAGUGGCGAGCGAAACCGGAUGAGGCCAAACCGUUGUGGUGUGAGACCCGGCAGGGGUUGCCACGACGGGGUUGUGGGAAAAGGUCCGGCGUAGAGGGUAAGACCCCCGUAGACGAAAGCCUAAAUAUUCCCUGGUGACCGAUAGCGGAUAGUACCGUGUCGGGCUGUGACUGCGUGCCUUUUGAAGAAUGAGCCUGCGAGUUUGCGGUGUGUAGCGAGGUUAACCCGUGUGGGGUAGCCGUAGCGAAAGCGAGUCCGAAUAGGGCGACUGGUUCUCCCCGAAAUGCAUUUAGGUGCAGCGUCGCGUGUUUCUUGCCGGAGGUAGAGCACUGGAUAGGCGAUGGGCCUUACCGGGUUACUGACCUUAGCCAAACUCCGAAUGCCGGUAAGUGAGAGCGCGGCAGUGAGACUGUGGGGGAUAAGCUCCAUGGUCGAGAGGGAAACAGCCCAGAACACCGACUAAGGUCCCCAAGCGUGUGCUAAGUGGGAAAGGAUGUGGAGUCGCAGAGACAACCAGGAGGUUGGCUUAGAAGCAGCCACCCUUGAAAGAGUGCGUAAUAGCUCACUGGUCAAGUGAUUCCGCGCCGACAAUGUAGCGGGGCUCAAGCACACCACCGAAGUCGUGUCAUUGCAGCAUGAAGGGCCAACGCCUGCUGUGAUGGGUAGGGGAGCGUCGUGUGCCGGGUGAAGCAGCCGAGGAAUCGAGUUGUGGACGGUUCACGAGUGAGAAUGCAGGCAUGAGUAGCGAUACAAGAGUGGGAAACUCUUGCGCCGAUUGACCAAGGGUUCCUGGGUCAAGCUGAUCUGCCCAGGGUAAGUCGGGACCUAAGGCGAGGCCGACAGGCGUAGUCGAUGGACAACGGGUUGAUAUUCCCGUACCCGCUUUGAAGCGCCAACGUCGAACCUCUUGAUGCUAAGCCCGUGAAGCCGGCCCGGAGUCUUCGGACGAAGGGACGUGGUGGAGCCGGCGGCCCAACGGGGUAGUAGGUGAGCGAUGGGGUGACGCAGGAAGGUAGUCCAGCCCGGGCGGUGGUAGUCCCGGGGUAAGGGUGUAGGACGUUGCGUAGGCAAAUCCGCGCAACACAUAGUCUGAGACCUGAUGCCGAGCCGAUUGUGGUGAAGUGGAUGAUCCUAUGCUGUCGAGAAAAGCCUCUAGCGAGUUUCAUGGCGGCCCGUACCCCAAACCGACUCAGGUGGUCAGGUAGAGAAUACCGAGGCGUUCGGGUGAACUGUGGUUAAGGAACUCGGCAAAAUGCCCCCGUAACUUCGGGAGAAGGGGGGCCAUUGCUGGUGACGGGACUUGCUCCCUGAGCUGGUGGUGGCCGCAGAGACCAGCGAGAAGCGACUGUUUACUAAAAACACAGGUCCGUGCGAAGCCGUAAGGCGAUGUAUACGGACUGACGCCUGCCCGGUGCUGGAACGUUAAGGGGACCGGUUAGUCACGAUUCGUCGUGGCGAAGCUGAGAACUUAAGCGCCAGUAAACGGCGGUGGUAACUAUAACCAUCCUAAGGUAGCGAAAUUCCUUGUCGGGUAAGUUCCGACCUGCACGAAUGGCGUAACGACUUCUCGACUGUCUCAACCACAGGCCCGGUGAAAUUGCAUUACGAGUAAAGAUGCUCGUUUCGCGCAGCAGGACGGAAAGACCCCGGGACCUUUACUAUAGCUUGAUAUUGGUGUUCGGUUCGGCUUGUGUAGGAUAGGUGGGAGACUGUGAAUCCGUGACGCCAGUCAUGGUGGAGUCGUCGUUGAAAUACCACUCUGGUCGUGCUGGAUGUCUAACCUGGGUCCGUGAUCCGGAUCAGGGACAGUGUCUGGUGGGUAGUUUAACUGGGGCGGUUGCCUCCUAAAGAGUAACGGAGGCGCCCAAAGGUUCCCUCAGCCUGGUUGGCAAUCAGGUGUUGAGUGUAAGUGCACAAGGGAGCUUGACUGUGAGACUGACGGGUCGAGCAGGUACGAAAGUAGGGACUAGUGAUCCGGCGGUGGCUUGUGGAAGCGCCGUCGCUCAACGGAUAAAAGGUACCCCGGGGAUAACAGGCUGAUCUUCCCCAAGAGUCCAUAUCGACGGGAUGGUUUGGCACCUCGAUGUCGGCUCGUCGCAUCCUGGGGCUGGAGUAGGUCCCAAGGGUUGGGCUGUUCGCCCAUUAAAGCGGUACGCGAGCUGGGUUUAGAACGUCGUGAGACAGUUCGGUCCCUAUCCGCUGUGCGCGUAGGAGUGUUGAGAAGGGCUGUCCCUAGUACGAGAGGACCGGGACGGACGAACCUCUGGUGUGCCAGUUGUCCUGCCAAGGGCAUGGCUGGUUGGCUACGUUCGGGAGGGAUAACCGCUGAAAGCAUCUAAGCGGGAAGCCUGCUUCGAGAUGAGCACUCCCACCUCCUUGAGAGGGUAAGGCUCCCAGUAGACGACUGGGUUGAUAGGCCGGAUAUGGAAGCCCUGUGAGGGGUGGAGUUGACCGGUACUAAUAGGCCGAGGGCUUGUCCUC